AGAGUUUGAUCCUGGCUCAGAACGUACGCUGGCGGCACGCCUAAUACAUGCAAGUCGAACGAAGUAGCAAUACUUAGUGGCAGACGGGUGAGUAACAUGUGGGUAUCUUCCCUUUGGUGAGGAAUAACACGAGGAAACUUGUGCUAAUACCUCAUAAGUCUUUACGGAGAAAGCUUUAUGCGCCAUAGGAUGAGCCCGCACUUGAUUAGUUUGUUGGUGGGGUAAUGGCCUACCAAGACUGUGAUCAAUAGCUGAUUUGAGAGGAUGAUCAGCCACAUUGGGACUGAGACACGGCCCAAACUCCUACGGGAGGCAGCAGUAGGGAAUCUUGCACAAUGGAGGAAACUCUGAUGCAGCGAUGCCGCGUGAGUGAAGAAGGCCUUUGGGUUGUAAAGCUCUUUCGUCGGGGAAGAAAAUGACUGUACCCGAAUAAGAAGGUCCGGCUAACUUCGUGCCAGCAGCCGCGGUAAUACGAAGGGACCUAGCGUAGUUCGGAAUUACUGGGCUUAAAGAGUUCGUAGGUGGUUAAAAUAGUUGGUGGUGAAAUCCCAGAGCUUAACUCUGGAACUGCCAUCAAAACUUUUUAGCUAGAGUAUGAUAGAGGAAAGCAGAAUUUCUAGUGUAGAGGUGAAAUUCGUAGAUAUUAGAAAGAAUACCAAUUGCGAAGGCAGCUUUCUGGAUCAUUACUGACACUGAGGAACGAAAGCAUGGGUAGCGAAGAGGAUUAGAUACCCUCGUAGUCCAUGCCGUAAACGAUGUGUGUUAGACGUUGGAAAUUUAUUUUCAGUGUCGCAGCGAAAGCGAUAAACACACCGCCUGGGGAGUACGACCGCAAGGUUAAAACUCAAAUGAAUUGACGGGGACCCGCACAAGUAGUGGAGCAUGUGGUUUAAUUCGAAGAUACGCGCAGAACCUUACCAACACUUGACAUGUUCGUCGCGACUCUAAGAGAUUAGAGUUUUCGGUUCGGCCGGACGAAACACAGGUGCUGCAUGGCUGUCGUCAGCUCGUGUCGUGAGAUGUUGGGUUAAGUCCCGCAACGAGCGCAACCCUCACUUUUAGUUGCCACCAUUAAGUUGGGCACUCUGAAAGAACUGCCAGUGAUAAGCUGGAGGAAGGUGGGGAUGACGUCAAGUCCUCAUGGCCCUUAUGUGUUGGGCUACACACGUGCUACAAUGGCAUCUACAACAGGAAGCAAAACGGCAACGUUAAGCAAAUCCCGAAAAGAUGCCUCAGUUCGGAUUGCACUCUGCAACUCGAGUGCAUGAAGCUGGAAUUACUAGUAAUCGUGGAUCAGCGUGCCACGGUGAAUACGUUCCCGGGUCUUGUACACACCGCCCGUCACACCAUGGGAGUUGGUUCUACCUUAAGGCAAGGUUUUAAACCCUUGACCACGGUAUAGUCAGCGACUGGGGUGAAGUCGUAACAAGGUAACC
rnacentral:rRNA from 1 species